CCUACGGGAGGCAGCAGUAGGGAAUCUUCCACAAUGGGCGAAAGCCUGAUGGAGCAACGCCGCGUGGGUGAAGAAGGUCUUCGGAUCGUAAAACCCUGUUGUUAGAGAAGAAAGUGCGUGAGAGUAACUGUUCACGUUUCGACGGUAUCUAACCAGAAAGCCACGGCUAACUACGUGCCAGCAGCCGCGGUAAUACGUAGGUGGCAAGCGUUAACCGGAUUUAUUGGGCGUAAAGGGAACGCAGGCGGUCUUUUAAGUCUGAUGUGAAAGCCUUCGGCUUAACCGGAGUAGGGCAUUGGAAACUGGGAAACUUGAGUGCAGAAGAGGAGAGUGGAACUCCAUGUGUAGCGGUGAAAUGCGUAGAUAUAUGGAAGAACACCAGUGGCGAAAGCGGCUCUCUGGUCUGUAACUGACGCUGAGGUUCGAAAGCGUGGGUAGCAAACAGGAUUAGAUACCCGUGUAGUC
rnacentral:rRNA from 1 species